AUCAUUAAUACUGCGACGAUCUGCCCCGCGCGGCCGAUAACCGCGGGAAACUGCGGCUAAGAGCGCGGGUUGAGACGCAGCCCUAUCAGCUCGUUGGCGGUGUAACGGACCCCCAAGGCGGCGACGGGUGACGGGGGGUCGGGGCCCGACUCCGGAGAGGGAGCCUGAGAGAUGGCUCCCACGUCCAAGGACGGCAGCAGGCGCGGAAAUUGCCCACUCCCGCGCGGGGAGGCAGUUACGAGACGUGGCGGAAGGGCGCCCCGCAAAGCCGGGCGCGAAGGCGAUUGGAGGGCAAGCUCGGUGCCAGCAGCCGCGGUAAUACCGACUCCAAGAGUGUCUAUGGUGGAUGCUGCAGUUAAAACGUCCGUAGUCGGCACGGCAACGAAGACGCGCGGAUCGAGCGCGCGCGSGUUGCCGGACGCGGCGGAGCGGGCAGGGGGCGCGGUAUGCGCGGGCGAGAGAUGAAACGCCAGGACCCCGCGCGGACCGACGGCGGCGAAGGCGGCGCCCCGGGACGCGUCUGCGGAUCAAGGACGAAGGCCGGAGGAUCGAAAGUGAUUAGAGACCGCUGUAGUUCCGGCAGUAAACGAUGCCGACAGCGCGGCGCGGKCGCGCCGCGCGGGGGAAACCUUAGUGUGCGGGCUCUGGGGAUAGUAUGCUCGCAAGCGUGAAAAUUAAACGAAAUUGACGGAGCUACACCACAAGGAGUGGAUUGUGCGGCUUAAUUUGACUCAACGCGGGGCAGCUUACCAGGGCCGCGCGCGCCCGAGACCGCGCGCGCGAGGCGCGCAGGAGUGGUGCAUGGUCGUUGCAAGCCGAUGGCGCGAGCUUAGGCUUAAGUGCCGGAAUGGGCGAGAUCCGCGCGACGGGUGCGCGCCGCACAGGCGGGAGCGGGCGAUAACAGAUCAGUGAUGCCCUCAGAUGCCCUGGGCCGCACGCGCAAUACACUCCCCGCGCGCGGCGCAGACGGGUCGCGGGGAGCGGGACCGGCGCCUGCAAGGGCGCCGCGAACGAGGAAUUCCUAGUAACGGCGGCUCACCAGGCCGCGGUGAAUGUGUCCCUGUAGNCUUGUACACACCKCCCGUCCCUAUCUCAGACGGCCGCCGC
rnacentral:rRNA from 1 species